rnacentral:rRNA from 1 species
UACGUAGGGUGCGAGCGUUACUCGGAAUUACUGGGCGUAAAGCGUGCGCAGGCGGCUUUGCAAGACAGAGGUGAAAUCCCCGGGCUCAACCUGGGAACUGCCUUUGUGACUGCAAGGCUAGAGUACGGCAGAGGGGGAUGGAAUUCCGCGUGUAGCAGUGAAAUGCGUAGAUAUGCGGAGGAACACCAAUGGCGAAGGCAAUCCCCUGGGCCUGUACUGACGCUCAUGCACGAAAGCGUGGGGAGCAAACAGG